rnacentral:rRNA from 1 species
GUAGGUGGCAAGCGUUGUCCGGAAUUAUUGGGCGUAAAGCGCGCGCAGGCGGUCCUUUAAGUCUGAUGUGAAAGCCCACGGCUCAACCGUGGAGGGUCAUUGGAAACUGGGGGACUUGAGUACAGAAGAGGGAAGCGGAAUUCCAAGUGUAGCGGUGAAAUGCGUAGAGAUUUGGAGGAACACCAGUGGCGAAGGCGGCUUUCUGGUCUGUAACUGACGCUGAGGCGCGAAAGCGUGGGGAGCAAACAGGAUUAGAUACCCUGGUAGUCCACGCCGUAAACGAUGAGUGCUAAGUGUUAGGGGGUUUCCCGCCCCCUUAGUGCUGCAGCUAACGCAUUAAGCACUCCGCCUGGGGAGUACGGCCGCAAGGCUG